UGCUUAGUAGCGGCGAGUGAGCGGCAAAAGCUCAAAUUUGAAAUCUGGCGCCUUCGGUGUCCGAGUUGUAAUUUGAAGAUUGUAACCUUGGGGUUGGCUCUUGUCUAUGUUUCUUGGAACAGGACGUCACAGAGGGUGAGAAUCCCGUGCGAUGAGAUGCCCAAUUCUAUGUAAGGUGCUUUCGAAGAGUCGAGUUGUUUGGGAAUGCAGCUCUAAGUGGGUGGUAAAUUCCAUCUAAAGCUAAAUAUUGGCGAGAGACCGAUAGCGAACAAGUACAGUGAUGGAAAGAUGAAAAGAACUUUGAAAAGAGAGUGAAAAAGUACGUGAAAUUGUUGAAAGGGAAGGGUUUGAGAUCAGACUCGAUAUUUUGUGAGCCUUGCCUUCGUGGCGGGGUGACCCGCAGCUUAUCGGGCCAGCAUCGGUUUGGGCGGUAGGAUAAUGGCGUAGGAAUGUGACUUUACUUCGGUGAAGUGUUAUAGCCUGCGUUGAUGCUGCCUGCCUAGACCGAGGACUGCGAUUUUAUCAAGGAUGCUGGCAUAAUGAUCCCAAACCGCCCGUCUU
rnacentral:rRNA from 1 species